UACGAAGGGGGCUAGCGUUGUUCGGAAUUACUGGGCGUAAAGCGCACGUAGGCGGGUUUGUAAGUAGGGGGUGAAAUCCCUGGGCUCAACCCAGGAACUGCCUUCUAGACUGCAAGCCUGGAGGUCAGGAGAGGCGAGUGGAAUUCCGAGUGUAGAGGUGAAAUUCGUAGAUAUUCGGAGGAACACCAGUGGCGAAGGCGACUCGCUGGACUGAUACUGACGCUGAGGCGCGAAAGCGUGGGGAGCAAACAGG
rnacentral:rRNA from 1 species